rnacentral:rRNA from 1 species
UUGAGGCUUGUAUGAUGGUUUGACAAGAAUGAAGCUGUCUCUUUAUAACUAAUUUGAAUUUUAUUUAUAGGUGAAGAAGCCUAUAUUAUAUUGAAAGACAAGAAGACCCUAUCGAGCUUUAAAAAAAUUAAUAAAUUAAAAACUAAUAUUAAAAAUAUAAAUUUCAUUAUUAAGUCAUUUUAGAUGGGGCGACUGAGGAACAAACAAAGCUUCCUGUAAAAAUAUUAAUACAUUCAAGUACUGAUCCAAAAGUUUUGAUUAAAGAAACUAGUUACCGUAGGGAUAACAGCAUUAUCUUUUUUGAGAGUUCUUAUCGAAAAAAAGGUUUGUGAUCCUCGAUGUUGGACCAGAAUAUCCUAAAGAUGCAGCGU